CGCAGAAUGCAAAAUGAAGUUCCUCUUGAUUCUUGGUGAGAAAAGUUAAAAAAUUUGUUUAUUUAUUGUUGCCGAAGCUUUUGACAGAUAACUUUCUUGGGUGCAAUUGUGGUAACUGCCGUGUUCUUCUCUUGGUUAAACCAAAAGAUUGUAGAUGUUGCCACGAAAUUAUCAAUUGCAUGAUUGAAAUGCAAGAUCAUAUGGUGGUAUCCGAAUUCGGAAGGCAGCCAAAAUGCAUCACAGAGUAUCCAGGAUUUGAAGCCAUUUGCUUCAAUCGAUGGGCAUUGAAUUUAGCUGCCAAUCUUUACCAAAGACGAGAUGGAGUUAGAUAUCGUAAAGGAUUCUUGGAGCAAAGGUUUUUUCGAGUUGUUGCAUAUAGGCAAUUUACAAGAAUGGUACAUGGCAUUCUUCAAGACAAAAGAAUUCCACUUCCAGCUUGUGCUUACCAUGUUAUUCGAACAACUUUUAAUUUAAAGAAAAAUGAACAUUUUGCAGGGUAUGAAGAGGACAAUUUGUGAAAUAACAUAACAUAUAUUAUUUUAGGUGUUGUGUGCAUGAGACAAGCUAGUAGGGAUUCAGUGAAGUGUGGAAUGAUUUUAGGCACUCUUGAUGUAUUGCGUCUUCGAUUCACACUUAUUCUUGUUAUACAAAACAUACAAAAUUACAAUUCCUUUUAUUUUAUUCUUUCUAUGCAGUCAUUUCACACUUCACUGAAUCCCAACUAACUGAGCUCAUACCACCAGCUCCUAAAAAAGUGAUUACUUUUGGUUUUUUUGACAGUUAAUUAUAUUUUUAUGGCCUUUCAUCCAA